GAUGAACGCUGGCGGCGUGCCUAAUACAUGCAAGUCGAGCGGAAGGACGAGCUGUUUGUUUUGCUGUUGUUGUAGGCGGAGGGGUGAGGGGCACGUGACUCGCCUACUUUUAAGACUGGGCUAGCGUAUAGGACUGGGAGAUAGGACCGGAUACUCGUUUGAACCGAAUGGUGCAACAGUGGGUGACGAUCUUGCUGUCACUGAUAGAGGGAUCCGCGCUGCCUUAGCAUGUUGGUAAGGUAACGGCUUACCAAGGCAACGAUGCAUAGCCGACCUGGGAGGGUGAUCGUCCACACUGGAACUGAGACACGGUCCAGACUCCUACGGGAGGCAGCAGUAGGGAAUCGUCCGCAAGGGGCGAAAGCCGGACGGAGCAACGCCGCGUGAGUGAUGAAGGUCUUCGGAUCGUAAAACUCUGCUAUUAGGGAAGAACAUAUGUGUAAGUAACUGUGCACAUCGUGACGGUACCUAAACAGAAAGCCACGGCUAACUACGUG
rnacentral:rRNA from 1 species